rnacentral:lncRNA from 1 species
CCAGGUCCAUGGCGGACGACUUCGCCGCGUCCACGCUGCCCCCGCUGAUGGACGUGUCCGGCGGCAGCGGCGGCAACAUGUCACUUUCAGCGGCGGCGGCGGCUGCGGCGUCCAUCGAGCUGACGACGCCACCGGCACCACACGUGACCUGCUUCUCCAACACGCUGGAGGGCCACUUCCUGACCCCACCAACCUGCCUCCUCCCCUCCGCCGCCGCCACCGCCUCGCCGUUCCUGGCGAGCAUGGCGCAGUACGACGGCGACGCGGGCGUGGGCGGCAUGGUGCACGAGCUCCUGCAGGAGGCCGGCGGGUGGUACAGCAAGCUGGGCGAGAGGGAGCGGC